AGAUGAUGGCUCAGACUUCUAGUCCCACACUGAGUGCCUUUGCCUCGCUACAGCCUCUAGAUGUGUUGGGAUCAGCCUCACCCCAUAGUGUAACUCAUACUUCAGGACAGCCGGAGUCUCCAAGCGGACAAGAUUCACCCACACCUGAGUGGCUUUUGACACUUUCGUUGGCAAAAGAGCUAACAAAAAUGGCCAGGGCUUCUAAAUUGUCGGCUACAUCAUCUUCUGAGACUAAGAAGAAGAAAAAGAAAAGUUCUGCAAAGGCAGCAAAAUCAGUACAGGACAGAGUGCGAUCACCUGCUGCAGUCUCUAUUUCUGCUCCUCCACCAAUGCUACAAUCCUCUGUACCGAUGGCUGUACCGGUCCCGAUGCAAGAUGCAGCUCCAAUUGCAUCAACGUCAGAGGGUGAAAUCAGGGACGCUUCCCUGAUUCAACCACCCUCUUUGCCUCUUUGGCCUUGCCAAGAUCAGUAUCAAUCCCCUCGUUAUGGAACGUCUCAGUCACGCCUCCCCAGCUCCCUGGACUCCGUCUCCUCAAUGCCAUUGGUACAGAGGGAUCAUACCUCUAGGCAUUAUGGGGGGCAUCAGUACCGAUCCAGAUCCUCGUGGUCUGACUGGGAUAGGCACUCGGAAUGGGACGUGCCUUAUGAGAGGUCUCAAGAUUGGGGCAUGGAUCGUAUGGACCAAUACCACCAGCCAAACUAUCCUCACCGGGAGUUUUACAAUCGCAGUGCUCGUCGAUAUCGACCAGCACCUUUGGUCACGGCAUCCAGAGCGCAAGAUGAUGGUGGUAUCCUCCUAGCUCCCCCUCCCAUAGUAACACCCCAACCAAUGCGUCCACAUAGGCAGCCAUCACACCUGAUCUCAUUUGACCAACCAGUGCCCUUGCAGCCUCCUACAGUUCACCAAUUGACUGAGGUUCCUUCAGCAUUGGGGGCUCCGUCGCACUCAACAGGGGUGCAGGACAUGCAGCACCAUAGGUUGGACACUGCAGAGGCUUCUCCACUCUCGGAUACUGACGGAUAUCAGUCAGACUCGACUUCACAGUCUUCACUGUACCUGUCCAUCCCUUCACCAGAUGCCGCAGUGGGAUCCCGGGAUGCAAUUUCCCCAUCUGAGGAUUUGGAGCAGUUCACAGGUCAGGUCAUUCGCAUGGCCCAGUCAUUUGGGCUUGAGACAGAGCAAUCCGUCUGUCCUAUCCAAGACCCGGUGUUUGAUGUUGUGAAUAUUGAACCGGUGGCAAUUCCGUUCCUUCCAACUCUGCAUCAUACCGUACAACAGUCAUGGAAGGCCCCCUCAUCCAUGACUCCCACAUCUGAACGACUUGAGGGGAUGUAUCGCGUUCAGGACAAGGAUGCUGGUUUUCUCUUCACUCACCCAGCGCCGAACUCUGUCAUUGUUGAGGCAGCGCAGGGUAAAUCAAGGAGAUUCCACUCCUCUCCGGUGGAGAAGGAGGGUCGCCGUCUCGAUUUACUAGGCAGACGGCUGUAUUCCUCGGCAGCUUUGGGAAUUAAGGUGUCCAACUAUCAGGCAGUUAUGUCGGGUUAUCAACUCUUCCUCUGGAAGAAGAUCAGGCACCUCUUCGACCACCUUCCUGAAGAUAAAAGAGACCUUGCUCAGGUGUUGCAUGGUGAAGCCAUGCAACUAGGCAGGCAGCAGCUCAACACCUCCCGGCACCAGGUAGACUGCAAUGCCAAGGUUCUGGUCGGUGCAGUUGCUCUAAGGCGCCGCGCCUGGCUGAGGUCUGCAGGUCUAUCCCAAGAGGCUCAGUCUCGUAUCGAGGACUUGCCGUUUGAUGGCCACAGUCUCUUCAAUGCUAAGACUGAUAAGGUCAUGGAUUCAGUCCAGAAGGCGCGAAAUAGAGCACGGCGCAUGGGGCUGAGACAGCCACCACCACACAUGCAACGCCGCUGGUAUCGUCACUGUGCAAGACAAUAUUCCUACCGCCAAUCAGGAUCAAGGCAGGCAUCUCAACAGCAGGCUCCUGUACCGAGACAGCAGUACUCCUCAGCCUCAUUUCGGAGUUUUCGCCGUGAAGGCAACAGGGGCAACAAGCAUCACCUGUGAAUCCCUCCCCCUUGCUUUGUCCUUCUGCACUACCUCCUUUUUUUAGAACUCGCCUGUCUUCUUUUCUGCUAGUCUGGACCAACAUAACAUCAGACUCUCCAUUGUCCCGAAGGGCUACAGGAUCGAGUUUGAUGCCCUCCUUCCACUCGGGGCCCUCUGACCAACAGCUCCCUCACAGGUCCUUUGGCAGGAAGUACAAACCCUCUUGGCAAAAGGUGACAUAGAACGCAUCCUGCCAUGUCAUCUCAGAGAUGGGUUUUUAUUCACAGUACUUCACAAUACCGAAGAGGAAUGGAGGGCUUCAUUUGAUCCUGGAUCUCAGAGAUAUCAACACCUCGUUUAUGCCUAGGAAGGUCUGCAUCAUCUCCCUAUCAUCGAUCCUACCACUGCUUUCUAAGGGAGACUGGUUUGCCUCAAUUGACCUGAAGGACACCUAUUUUCACAUCACAAUCGAGUAGUCUUACAAAUGUUUUCUUCAAUUCAUGUAGGAACGGUAGGGCCUGCCAAUUUCAAGUGUUGCCCUUCGGCAUCACUACUGCCCUGAGGGUCUUCAUGAAGUACAUGGCAGUAGUGUGCUCCUACUUUCCUGUGCAUGGGAUGGAGAUCUACCUAUAUAUAGAUGACUGGCUACUGGUAGCAUCAAGCAGGUGCCAGCUUCUUCAGUCAAUUGAGAUGACCUGCAGUCUCCUAAGCAAUUUGGGCCUCUACCUCAGUGAGGAGAAGUCACAUCUGCAGCCUCUGCAAAAGCUCCAGUUCAUUGGUCCUCUCCUCAACUCAUAGUUUGGUCAGGCCUGUUCUUAAGUUUCCCUAGCAGCGAAGUUACUCGCUUGGAGGACUACCACGGCAUUGCCAAUGCUUCACUUCUUUGUCUGAUGGCUAUGACAACAUCGGUCAUGUAUUACACCCACUUGUACAUGCCGAAUUUUCAGAACUGGUUCCUCCACAAUUUCAAUCGCCUGCCAUACUCAGCUUCAGCCUCCUUCAUGGGUAAGGAAUUUGCUGCACUGGUGGACAAUGCGAGAUCACCUUGUGUAAGGUGUGACUUUCCUUCAGCCCGCUCCUUCUUGAAUAGUGAUUGUGGGUGUGUCCCUCUUGGGAUGGGGAGUCAUUGCGGGGGCCUCACAGUACACAGUUGGUGGUCACCCAGGGAGGCCACCAAACACAUCACCCAGCUGAAGUUGAGGGCAUUAAAGCUGGACCUGGUGGGCAGACUGGUCCAGGUAACAUCAGACAAUACUGCCAUUGUUACUUAUGUAAACAAGCAGGGGGAACAAGAUCACUCCCUUUUAUCGUCUUCAUUAUUCACCUCAUUGGUGCGUGUCCUGUUGGUUCAGUCUGAUUGUGCUCCAUGUGGCUGGUGCAGACAGUGUACCUGCCAAUCAGCUCAGCUGGACAUUGCUGAUCUCCCAUGAGUGUGAAAUGGACAAGAACAUCCUGCCUGAUCUCUUUUUGGUGGUGGGGCACACCAGAAAUUGGCUUAUUCACUAGUAAUGACAAUACUGUUUGCUUGGUGUUCUGCUGCUGAGUGGAUCUGGAGCCGGAAUCUAUGGCAACACCUUUGCACUCAUGUGGACAGGGGCGCUGUUCUACAUGUUUCACUCAUCACCAAAGUCCUGGCAAAGAUAGGGACAGAUGGGACAUAGUGUAUCCUGAUCACCCCAUGCUGGUCUUACCAGCUUUGGUUUGCCAUGCUUCUGCUCCUAGCGAAGGGCAAUUGCAUUCAGCUUCCAGCAGUUCUCACCUAGGAACAAGGCAGAGUUCAGCAGCCGAACCUUCAAAAGCUCUGCAUGACAACAUGGAGGAUCCAGUAAUUGGUACUGACCAGGACAUCCCUUCUUGGAUCCAACACAUUCUCAAUGCUGCACGCAAGCCUGCCGUGAGACAGACAUAUGCCUGGUUCUUCAUCUUCUCACAUCUGAAGGUAAAGCAGUUACUCAGAGGGGUCCGGAACCUAUUUUGAUGGAUGGUACUGCAUUGGAGUCUCUUCGUCGUCUUGGAGACACAAUCCUCUAACCCAUUCUGACUGCCGUUACAUUGAUGCAGCCUGGUUAAGGCCAUCUACAUUCAUUCAGCACCACCAGUUGGAUGUUCGAGCUAGAUCUGAUAGCUUCUUCGGGUGCACAGUCCAUCCCUCACUGACCCACCUCCAAAACAAGUUGCCACCCAUGUGAAAGCUCUGAAGGAAAGGAGAGAGAAGCUGAAGGAAUCCAAAGAAGACUUGGAAUGCAGAAGUCAGGC